UAUGAAAGCGUAUCCCCGGAGUCGGGGCUCUCCCGGUUUGGCGCGAAACCGGAUCUGACGUUACCAUAGGGAGGUACUCCCUGCCCCUAGACAGGUACUGUUGUAGCUAGGGAAAGAUCCGACGAUUCCUCGGCCUUGUCCCCAGCCUUUACUUGCCUAUGUUCUACUCGGUACCCUCACCUGUACCUCACCGCAGUCGCCGGCUUUGAGUUAUGCCUUCUUUGCGUGUGCAGGAGUCGCCUUCACUUGAAAACAUCCGUCGAGACCUGCACAUUUAGUUUUGGUGGUUUUGACGCUGUGCGAAUGGCUGAGGCCGUCUCUGCGAUGCACUCUCAGCGCGUAGACUGUCGUUUUGUACGUUGGUGGUAACGACGUUUGCAGUGCCAACGCGGACCCUCAAGAAUAGGGAAGUUAGUUCUGCAACUGCAGACGAUGUGGCCCCCGUGGUGUAUACGUCUUCAAAGUGCUGCCACGUUGCUCCAGCUCUGAAGACGCCGAUGCAGAGCGCCAGAUCAAGAAAACGCGCUUGCUGAACCGCAAGCUGACGGCUACGCUGAAACGCCUGCCGUGUGUUCGAAUCUUAAACGCCGAGCAUGUUGGUCUUCAUUCGAGAGCUGUCUCACCUUUGGAUGUUCAGAGGCAUCCACUUCCACCUUGAGCACCGCACCGUGCAGCCAACGCUCCGCGGAGCGUCUCUCGCGGGCGGCUGGGGCACGCAAGCGCAGUGACAACUGUAGGUGGUGCCUUCGCCGCGUCGUCUGCUAAAGCGCAGCGGCUCCGCCCAAUCGCGCUUGCUCUUCGAUGAAGGUAACUUAAUCUCAUGGAAAUCGAGAAGCGCAGCGACUGCGCCUCGUUCCGCACUGCUUUUUCUCCUACUGUUUUCUUUUUCUGCAUGCGAUCUUAAAAGUAAUAAACCUUGGCCCGUGCAUGAGUGAGAUCGCCAAGCCGGGCUGGCACUCCCGCAACUAAGCUACUCAGAUGCUUUGUGCCGUACAGUUAGAAUAUUCCCGCUACUCACACGGUUGUUUUCAUCAGCUGAAAGUUUGGCGACACAAAGUCGACAAUAAAAAAAAUAUAAGUUUGCGCUGUGAAUUGAAGGCUCACGGAAAACUUUCUGCUUCGUGCUAAAGUUUUGAGCCAAGAAAUAUAUAAAGCGAUACGCGGUGCUUUGGGUCACCUAGCAAUAAAAAGGGAGUCAAGCUUUAUUCAGCGCCUGCUUACAGAAGUAAUCAUUUGUCAGCGGCGCUUCUUUGGUGAACUGAUUGUGUGAUAUGAGUUCAGCUGAAAACUCUAUUAGAAUGCUUCUUCAUUUUUCUGCAUGAAUGGUACGAAUAAGCAUGGUUGCACAUGAGUAGCAAAUUAGGGCGGCGUAUUGGCGAGUUAAAUUCGCUAGCGCAUGAAGGCAGCAGUGCUGAUAACACCUGAAUGUAAUGUAACUUCUCUGAAAUUGGCAAAUUGCUCACAUCCUUUUGUUUUCAGGCGAGUAACAAUCCAAACUUUCGCACAUUUAAAGCUGUUAUGUCAGACCUUACCAUGCAUUUAUCGCCAAUUUUGCGGCGCCUAGCUUUGAAGCUGAUCAAAAACAUUUGCGUGAGCAGCGGGAACAUUCUGGCUACUGGGCUCAAAGGAGCUGAGUUGCUUAGUUGUAGGAGUUCAAGCGUGGCUGUGAAAGUUUACUCAUGCACGGACCGAGGUUUAUUGGUUGUGAGAUCGCAUCCAGAAAUGAAAGAAAACACUAGCAGCAAAAGCUAGACGGAACAAGGUGCAGUCGCUUCGCUUCUUCUGAACCGUGCCGGAUGCUGGAUUUGCAUGCGCAUAGCAAGAGCGAAGUUAGCUUCACCGCAAAGCAAGUACAAUUCGGCAGAGCUGCCGCGCUUUAGCAGACGACGCGGCGAAGGCUCCGCCUAGAGCUGUCACUGCGCAUACGCGCUAGUUACCCAAGCAACCAAGAGAGGCGCUCCGCGGAGUGCUGGUCGCACGGUGCGGUGUUCAAGGUGGAAGUGGACGACUCUGUACCUCAGCUGAAAGAACCCUCUCAACAUCACAGCUUUCAUUAGCUAUAGUCGGGCACAACUUUAGAAGGCAGCGGCACUUUCCCCUCAAAGGCGGAUGCAUACGAGCCUCCACCAAUAGGCGCGCACUUCAGGUGACGUCAUGAGCCGGACGGCCGGUGACCCCGCCGACGGAGAACAUGCCUAACAUGCCUAGCGGGACUAUUUCUUUAGACGCGGAGGCAAUCCACCUUUUGCAUGUCUGUGUGGCGCCCUCUCUCGGGGCACUACGAGAAACAAACCGUACGGCGUCGCGGCGCGCGUCUGCUACCACCGCCAUACC